CCGUUCGGCGUUCAGACGAUUGUGAUUAGUUUAAAGAAAUGCCAAUAGACCACAGCACGUUAUUCUCCCAUUGCGGAAUGUUGUGUGG